GUCUUUUUGAAAAUAAUUUAAAGUUUAAUCUGCCCACUGAUAAAUAUUAAAGGGCUGCAGUAUAAUGACUGUACAAAGGUAGCAUAAUCAAUAGUUUUUUAAUUGGAAACUUGUAUGAAAGAUUUGAUGAAAUAUAAACUGUCUCUUAUUUAUUUUUAGAAAUUUAUUUUUUAGUUAAAAAGCUAAAGUAAUUUUAAAAGACGAGAAGACCCUAUAGAGUUUUAUAAUUAAUUUUAUUUUAAAAUUAUAUUAAAGUUUUCAUUAAAAUAAAAUUAAUUAUUGUAUUGGGGUGAUAGAAAAAUUAAAAAAACUUUUUUUAAAAAUUAAACAUAAAUAAAUGAAUAAAUGAUCCAUUAAUAAUGAUUAUAAGAAAAAAUUACCUUAGGGAUAACAGCGUAAUAUUUUUUUUUAGUUCAGAUAAAAAAAAAAGUUUGCGACCUCGAUGUUGGAUUAAGAUAAAAUUUAAAUGCAAAAGUUUAAAAUUUUGAUCUGUUCGAUCAUUAAAAUCUU
rnacentral:rRNA from 1 species